UACGUAGGGAGCGAGCGUUAUCCGGAUUUACUGGGUGUAAAGGGUGCGCAGGCGGCCUGGUAAGUCAGAAGUGAAAUUUCGGGGCUCAACCCCGGAGCUGCUUCUGAAACUGCUAGGCUAGAGUGUGGGAGAGGAAAGUGGAAUUCCGAGUGUAGCGGUGAAAUGCGUAGAUAUUUGGAGGAACACCAGUGGCGAAGGCGACUCUUUGGUCUAUUACUGACGCUGAGGUACGAAAGCAUGGGUAGCAAACAGGAUUAGAUACCCGGGUAGUCCCU
rnacentral:rRNA from 1 species